rnacentral:rRNA from 1 species
UACGUAGGGGGCUAGCGUUGUCCGGAAUCAUUGGGCGUAAAGCGCGUGUAGGCGGUCCGGUAAGUCCGCUGUGAAAGUCGGGGGCUCAACCCUCGGAUGCCGGUGGAUACUGGCGGACUCGAGUGCAGUAGAGGCAAGUGGAAUUCCCAGUGUAGCGGUGAAAUGCGUAGAUAUUGGGAAGAACACCAGUGGCGUAAGCGACUUGCUGGGCUGUAACUGACGCUGAGGAACGAAAGCCAGGGUAGCGAAUGGG